UUAACUAUAAGUAUCGAACAAAUUGUUUAUAUUAUAAUGUACUAAUUCUAUACUAAUUUUUAAAUUAUAGGCAAUGUAAAUAACAAUGUGACAGAACCUGCCUAUGAUCCAGUAAUCAAACCACCUCAGAAACCUCUAAUCCAGAGCAAUUCCAGGAUCCGAGGACUAUCAACCAUCUAUAAUGAUGGAUAAGGACUUGUCCAUUACCAGCAUAAGUAUUUGAAAUGUGAGAAUCGUCUUUAUGGCUGUCCAGUAUCAGAAAAAAUUUCAACAAUUGAUGGAGGAUCGCCAAUACUAAUUUCUGCAACAUAAUAUGUUCAUAGCCAUGAACCUGUACCUAACCAUUCAGUGGCAUUGUGAUGUUUCAUGAAUAGACAGAGGGAAAUAGGUAAUGUGGAGAAUAUUGUUCCACAUAACAUAUUUGAGUAGGAGAUGCAUCUGUAAGCUGCUUAACAAAAAAAUAGCGAUAGAAGUGGGCCGUCCAAUAGAAAUGGGGCGUGAAUGUUGCGUUACGUGAAUAUUAUUAUCAAACGUGGGGUGACUUCUGACAACACUUCAACUAUACCCAGAUCAAGGGCGUCCGCAGGAGUUUGUCAAAGGGAAAGCAAAAUAUUCUCCUUUUUAC